CGGGCGGGGUAAGGGUGUUAAAAUCCCUUGUAAUCCUGCGGGGAGGACCAGUGGCGAAGGCGCUACACUAGAACGGCUCUGACAGUGAGGGACGAAGCCCUGGGGCGCAAACCGGAUUAGAUACCCGGGUAGUCCAGGGUGUAGACGCUGCAGACUUGGUGUCGGUGAUCCUACGAGGGUUGCCGGUGCCGUAGAGAAGUUGUUUAGUCUGCCGCCUGGGAGUACGGUCGCAAGACUGAAACUCAAAGGAAUUG
rnacentral:rRNA from 1 species